GACGAACGCUGGCGGCGUGCUUAACACAUGCAAGUCGAACGGUAAGGCCCUUCGGGGUACACGAGUGGCGAACGGGUGAGUAACACGUGGGUGAUCUGCCCUGCACUUCGGGAUAAGCCUGGGAAACUGGGUCUAAUACCGGAUAGGACCACUGCCUGCAUGGGGGGUGGUGGAAAGCUUUUGCGGUGUGGGAUGGGCCCGCGGCCUAUCAGCUUGGUGGUGGGGUGAUGGCAUACCAAGGCGACGACGGGUAGCCGGCCUGAGAGGGUGCCCGGCCACACUGGGACUGAGAUACGGCCCAGACUCCUACGGGAGGCAGCAGUGGGGAAUAUUGCACAAUGGGCGCAAGCCUGAUGCAGCGACGCCGCGUGAGGGAUGACGGCCUUCGGGUUGUAAACCUAUUUCAGCACCGACGAAGCGCAAGUGACGGUAGGUGCAGAAGAAGGACCGGCCAACUACGUGCCAGCCGCCGCCGUAA
rnacentral:rRNA from 1 species